rnacentral:rRNA from 1 species
ACGAACGCUGGCGGCGUGCUUAACACAUGCAAGUCGAACGGAAAGGCCCUGCUUUUGUGGGGUGCUCGAGUGGCGAACGGGUGAGUAACACGUGAGUAACCUGCCCUUGACUUUGGGAUAACUUCAGGAAACUGGGGCUAAUACCGGAUAGGAGCUCCUGCUGCAUGGUGGGGGUUGGAAAGUUUCGGCGGUUGGGGAUGGACUCGCGGCUUAUCAGCUUGUUGGUGGGGUAGUGGCUUACCAAGGCUUUGACGGGUAGCCGGCCUGAGAGGGUGACCGGCCACAUUGGGACUGAGAUACGGCCCAGACUCCUACGGGAGGCAGCAGUGGGGAAUAUUGAACAAUGGGCGGAAGCCUGAUGCAGCAACGCCGCGUGCGGGAUGACGGCCUUCGGGUUGUAAACCGCUUUCGCCUGUGACGAAGCGUGAGUGACGGUAAUGGGUAAAGAAGCACCGGCUAACUACGUG